rnacentral:rRNA from 1 species
AUUGAACGCUGGCGGCAGGCUUAACACAUGCAGGUCGAACGAGUGGCGGACGGGUGAGUAAUGUCUGGGAAACUGACUGAUGGAGGGGGAUAACUACUGGCAACGGUAGCUAAUACCGCAUGACAUCAGACGUGCCCAGAGGGGAUUAGCUAGUAGGUGGGGUAAUGGCUCACCUAGGCGACGAUCCCUAGCUGGUCUGAGAGGAUGACCAGCCACGCUGGAACUGAGACGCGGCCCAGACUCCUACGGGAGGCAGCAGGGGGGCAUAGUGCACAAUGGGCGCAAGCCUGAUGCAGCCAUGCCGCGUGUGUGAAGAAGGCCUUCGGGUUGUAAAGCACUGUAAGCGAGGAGGCGUUACUCGCAGAAGAAGCACCGGCUAACUCCGUGCCAGCAGCCGCGGUAAUUC